CGUUGUACUAGGUGCUCCAUU
rnacentral:miRNA from 1 species